rnacentral:lncRNA from 10 species
UGGAGGGCAGUGGCUGUUCACAUGAUCAUUGUGCACUGUAGCCUCAAACUCCUGGGCUCAAGCGAUCUUCUUGGCUCAGCCUCCUGAAUAUCUGAAACUACAGGCAUGAAUGAAGCGGCUUAGCAAAACAGUAAUACUGACAAGACAUCAUCUUACACCAUGAGCUAACAUGGACAUGAAGGGAGUGACCAUCUACAGUGUGUGAAAUGCCACAAGAAGUCAUCAACAAGGGAGGAGAGUUAUGUCAGUCCAAUUUCUUCAAGAACACUACGUGGGGUUUCAGCUUCCUGUGGAGGGAAAAUGUGAGACUCUGGUAAGCAGAUCCAGGGAGUCUUGAGAAUGUGAAACAUUGACAUGGAAGAACAUGCUUGUUUUAGAGAAUCAAGAAAGCAAUUUCGUGUCACAGUAGCAUUCUAGUUGACAGCCAUUGGUUAUUUAGGGUUUUGUGCCCUCAAAAUUGGAGACCACAAAAGGACGUUUUCAGCAUUCAUUAAGUACCUGCUAAUUACCUACCAAUGUGCUAGAUGCCGUUGCUGUCAUGCAAAAAGCAGUCAAGCCCAGUGCAAACCUGCUGGCAAUUUAUGAAAUCACUGCUACUCAAUUAUAUAUAUGAAAGAUAAGUUAUCUUAGUGGUAAAAUUCAAAACCUCUUCCCUCCGAGUUCCCACAGUUCUUCGCCUACUGUUGUGUUCCAUGCUUUUUGUCACAUGCAUUUAUAGAAAUGUCUUCCUCUUGGAGUUUUUAGUUAACUGUGUCCACAGCGGCAAGUCUUCAGAAACAGCUAUCUUCCCAGACCUCCCCAGUGCAACCAAUGGCAUCACUAGAGGCCACAUAUGCAAAGAAUGCCAUGGGCCAAAGGCAUUUUUAUUCUAUGUAGCAACCAGCACUGGUUUUUAAGUGUCAAAGGAGGUCAAAACAAAGUAAGCAUAUCCAGGAAAAAAUUAUUUAAUAAUUUUCCAAAGUGGCUGAUUUUGCAAAUCACAAAAUAAAGGACCAAGGAGGCCAACUUUCAGGUAUUACUAGCAACGAAUUUU